ensembl:snRNA U6 U6 spliceosomal RNA
GUACUGCUUUGGCAGCACAUAUACUAAAAUUGGAACAAUACAGAGGAGAUUAACAUGACCCCUGUGCAAAUUUAUGAAACGUUCCAUAUUUUU